rnacentral:rRNA from 1 species
AUUGCACGUCUAAGCAGUAAGGCUGAGUAUUAGGCAAAUCCGGUACUCGUUAAGGCUGAGCUGUGAUGGGGAGAAGACAUUGUGUCUUCGAGUCGUUGAUUUCACACUGCCGAGAAAAGCCUCUAGAUAGAAAAUAGGUGCCCGUACCGCAAACCGACACAGGUAGUCAAGAUGAGAAUUCUAAGGUGAGCGAGCGAACUCUCGUUAAGGAACUCGGCAAAAUGACCCCGUAACUUCGGGAGAAGGGGUGCUCUUUAGGGUUAACGCCCAGAAGAGCCGCAGUGAAUAGGCCCAAGCGACUGUUUAUCAAAAACACAGGUCUCUGCUAAACCGUAAGGUGAUGUAUAGGGGCUGACGCCUGCCCGGUGCUGGAAGGUUAAGAGGAGUGGUUAGCUUCUGCGAAGCUACGAAUCGAAGCCCCAGUAAACGGCGGCCGUAACUAUAACGGUCCUAAGGUAGCGAAAUUCCUUGUCGGGUAAGUUCCGACCCGCACGAAAGGCGUAACGAUUUGGGCACUGUCUCAACGAGAGACUCGGUGAAAUCAUAGUACCUGUGAAGAUGCAGGUUACCCGCGACAGGACGGAAAGACCCCGUGGAGCUUUACUGUAGCCUGAUAUUGAAAUUCGGCACAGCUUGUACAGGAUAGGUAGGAGCCUUUGAAACGUGAGCGCUAGCUUACGUGGAGGCGCUGGUGGGAUACUACCCUAGCUGUGUUGGCUUUCUAACCCGCACCACUUAUCGUGGUGGGAGACAGUGUCAGGCGGGCAGUUUGACUGGGGCGGUCGCCUCCUAAAAGGUAACGGAGGCGCUCAAAGGUUCCCUCAGAAUGGUUGGAAAUCAUUCAUAGAGUGUAAAGGCAUAAGGGAGCUUGACUGCGAGACCUACAAGUCGAGCAGGGUCGAAAGACGGACUUAGUGAUCCGGUGGUUCCGCAUGGAAGGGCCAUCGCUCAACGGAUAAAAGCUACCCCGGGGAUAACAGGCUUAUCUCCCCCAAGAGUUCACAUCGACGGGGAGGUUUGGCACCUCGAU